GACGAACGCUGGCGGCGUGCUUAACACAUGCAAGUCGAACGGAAAGGCCCUGCUUGCAGGGUUCUCGAGUGGCGAACGGGUGAGUAACACGUGGGUGAUCUGCCCUGCACUUCGGGAUAAGCCUGGGAAACUGGGUCUAAUACCGGAUAGGAGCCAUUUUUAGUGUGAUGGUUGGAAAGUUUUUUCGGUGUAGGAUGAGCUCGCGGCCUAUCAGCUUGGUGGUGGGGUAAUGGCCUACCAAGGCGGCGACGGGUAGCCGGCCUGAGAGGGUGGACGGCCACAUUGGGACUGAGAUACGGCCCAGACUCCUACGGGAGGCAGCAGUGGGGAAUAUUGCACAAUGGGCGCAAGCCUGAUGCAGCGACGCCGCGUGGGGGAUGACGGCCUUCGGGUUGUAAACUCCUUUCGCUAGGGACGAAGCUUUUUGUGACGGUACCUAGAUAAGAAGCACCGGCUAACUACGUG
rnacentral:rRNA from 1 species